rnacentral:piRNA from 1 species
UCUGAAGGAACUAGCUGUGUCCACACCUC